rfam:Erinaceus europaeus unplaced genomic scaffold scaffold00617, whole genome shotgun sequence
UGCCUGUGACGAAACACCCAACUUGUCUUAUCUCCUGUCCUGAUCCCAGAGCUAGCAAAGGUGAGCCCACUGGGACUGGCUGGGGGAAAAGAGAAAAUUUUAUUCCAGAAGGAGCUGUCUGAGGUAU